UAACCUGCUCAGUCUUAUUCUGUAGGAGGUGUAUAUGAAGUGCUCUCUCUCUCGCUCUCGCUCUCUCUCUCUCUAAGUGCAAAGAUAGAGAAGGUCAAUGAACAGAGAAUUUAGGGAGAUGGAGUAGAUCUGAACAAGGAGAGGAGCCUGGAUAUAAAUACAAGGAACUGGAGAGGAAUAGAAAGUUAAACCAAAAGUGAACAGAACAUAUUCAUGCAGAAUUCGUGAGGAAACUUCUGCUGCAUGUAUCUUCCUCUGUAGAAGGGAAAUACCUAACAUGGUAGCAGCAGGACUUAAAAGAGACCUCAUCUGGGAAUAGUUUGUUUUUGUUCCUGCUGUGGGUAAAACAGGCAUGCGUGCAGAGGCUAAAUAGCGCAACAAAGAAAUGCAAGGUCUGGUUGCAGGAAGGAAACAGCAUUAUUAUGAGAAGUGUUCCUAUUUUGAAGAUAAUGAAGAGAGUGUCUCUGAACAUCCAGGAUCUUCAGAACAAUCCAACCCCUAUUUGCUCAGCCCAGCCAGCCUCCAUCAGAUUCCCACCAGCCACUGCUUGCAGCUUGAAACCAGUGGCGCUCCACUGUUCACCCUUCAAAUGGGCAGGUGGGUGGAAGUUCCUCCAGCAGUUCCCUGCUGACAGCAGCCAGGCAAGCCCCACAAAAAGACUCUCACCUAUGGAUGGAGGAGGAAUAUGUAGAACUUUCAUUCCAAAGCAGGCUCACCUGAUUCAGUCCCAACAAAUCAUGACCUAGAUCAGAUCAUGAAGCCACUUUAGAAUCUGCAAUCCUGCAGAUCCCAUUACAAGGAAGACUGAGGGCUCCAGCACUGCCUCUGUCAAUGUUUUUUUUAAAACAUAUUUUGCUUUUACAAAGUUUCAGAAGACGUUAUCCAGCCACCACACACUGUGAAUAAAAUAGAACAAGACACCCUGAGAGUGAUGGGACUUGAUGAUGUUCUGUCGCUCUCAGAGGGAUUGUGGGGGGGGGAGGGAUCUAUGGUUGCACCCAUGUAAAAACUGUCUCACCACCAGAACUUGUGGUUAUCUCUCCCUAACCACAAGUUGUAGCCUAGAACAAAUUUUGGCUACUACAGCUCCAUGAGUCACAUAACUUAGCAUGACACAGUAGUAAAAAGAACUGGGGAGGAGCAAAGCGGCUUCAAACUCCUCCUGGAGCCCACACAUUUGUGUGGUCCUGGUUAGCCCUAGUUUGACUUACUCUGUUGUGUGAACCAGGCCAUAGUGUAGUUAGCUUUGGUUCUUUAUGAGUUCUGUUACACACAUUGAGUUUCUUAACAGUGCAAUCCUAUACACGAGUGCUCAGAGGUCAGUUGAGUGAGUUCAAUGGGACAUACUCCCAAGUAAGUGGAUAUAGGGUUGCAGACUUAGACAGCUGCUCUCAUUAUUCAAGAGAGUGGAGAAGUGUUAGGUACAUGCGGGUUCUGGAUUGACUAUCAUUUCUUCAAAGACUUGUGAUUUUUGGAAACUGUCUUCUGAUAUCCCAAGAGGAAUAGUUACCGAUAAACACCAUGGGUUGUACCAAUUAAAUCACUGCACUUGUGGAACAACUUCCAUGAAUGCAAUAGAACUUCCACUCCCCAGGUGUACUCCCUAAAUCUGCUGUGGGAUUUACCCCAACCCUCUGGAUCAGAUUUGGAGGUGGUGUACAGGGAGGAAAGGGAGGAGAUGUUCUGUUGCACUCACAGAAGUUCCACAAGCACAAUGAUUUUGUUGGAUACAACCCCAUAAGCACAACAAAAUGAUAUUAACAGGUGAUAACAAACAAAUCCAUUGACUUUUGAACAAGAAGAACAUUCAACAAGAGUUUCUUCCUAAAAUAGGUGUUAUGUUUUCCCUGCAAUGAAGUCUAUUUAUUGACUGGCCUUCAAAAAAGAAGUCUUAUAUCCAUUCAGCUAUCCAUUCAAUUGUCUUUGGACUGGAAUAUAAUAAAAAUUCAUUAAUAGAGGAUGGAACAGUUGCAGAGUCACCGCCACUGAGAAGUCACACUCCUCCCUCCAUCAAUUGUCACCUGCAGCAGUACCACAGGAGGGAAGAAAAGGGAUAUGGGACCACUCCAUGGACACAGCUGAGAGAUGAGCCACUUUUGAUGCCUGCUUUCCUUGAGCUUCUUCACCCCAGGUGGUCCUUAGAAGAACUUUUAAGUAAGCACUUGUAACUGAGCUUGUUUUCUUCUUCCUCCCUCUCAAUCCAUUUUCCUUUGGUGUCAUUUUUUUUUAGAUUGUAAGCCUGAGUGCAGGAACUUUCUCUGCCCCCCUCCCCAGUGAUCUGUAAUCAACUCUGGUAACCAUUUUUUGUCUGAAGAGCAGGACAAUGAAUGCUUUAAAUAAAUAAAGUGAAAAUCUUUCUUCUCUAAAA